rnacentral:rRNA from 1 species
CGUAGGUGGCAAGCGUUGUCCGGAUUUAUUGGGUUUAAAGGGUGCGUAGGCGGUCUUAUAAGUCAGUGCUGAAAUAUCCCGGCUUAACCGGGAGGGUGGCAUUGAUACUGUAGGACUUGAGUGAAGUCGAGGUAGGCGGAAUUGACGGUGUAGCGGUGAAAUGCUUAGAUAUCGUCAAGAACACCAAUAGUGAAGACAGUUUACUAGACUUCAACUGACGCUGAGGCACGAAAGUGUGGGGAUCAAACAGGAUUAGAUACCCUGGUAGUCCACACUGUAAACGUUGAUUACUCGAUGUGUGCGAUAUACAGUACGCGUCUUAGCGAAAGCGAUAAGUAAUCCACCUGGGGAGGUACGCCGGCAACGGUG